CAAAUACUUAUUUUCAACCAUAUUUGCAAAUAAAUUAAAAAAAAUCCUACAAUGUGAUUUUCUGGAUUUUUCCCCCCUAAUUUUGUCUGUCAUAGUUGAAGUAUGCCUAUGAUAGAAAUUACAGGCCUCUCUCAUCUUUUAAGUGGGAGAACUGCACAAUGGUGGCUGACUAAUACUGUUUUGCCCCAAUUACAUGUCUAGUCAGCUUCACUAGUAUAUGUCCUAUCACUUCACUUAAGUGUCUAGUCAGCUCACUACACGUUUGGUCAGCUUCACUAUACAGUCUAGACAGCUUCACUAUACAUGUCUAGUCAGCUUCACUAUAUAUGCAGUCAGCUUCACUAUAUACUACGUCUAGUCAGCUUCACUAUAUAGGUUAGUCAGCUUCACUACUACGUCUAGUCAGCUUCACUAUAUAGUCUAGUCAGCUUCACUAUAUAUGUCUAGUCAGCUUCACUACUAGUCUGGUCAGCUUCACAUCAUGUCUAGACAGCUCACUAUACAUGUCUAGACAGCUUCACUAUACAUCAGACAGCUUCACUAUACAUGUUAGCAGCUUCACUAUAUGUCUAGUCAGCUUCACUAUAUGCUAGUCAGCUUCACUACUACGUCUAGUCAGCUUCACUAUAUAUGUCUAGUCAGCUUCACUACUACGUCUGGUCAGCUUCACUAUAAUAGGUCUGUGCAUGGCCUCAGUGCAAUGUGCAGCUAUCAACUCUACAUCAGCAGUCCCAUUCAGUGGUGUGUUUUUCUCUUGGUCAAGUAACAUUUCCUAUAGCAAAUAGUGAAGACAGGUACAGCCCGAGUAUCUUCAUAUUAUACAUACAUGAUGCACAAACUAUGCAAAUAUCAAUUUAUAUCAGCUUUUAAUAAUUAAUCAUUUAAUAAUUACAGAGGCUUAGUCAAAACAUGUGACUAUCAAUUGCUAAAAGAUUUCAAAUAUGCUCUAUAGGAAUAUGGAUUAUAACACAAUUAUUUAUAUCAAUUUUAAAAAUAGAGACUUGAAAUCCUGUUACAUGUAUAAUUAUUCACCUGGAAAAUAAAAAUAACAUCUACUUGAAACAGAAUGUAUAUUAUAUUGCUUCUUAACCAUAUUUCGCUGCUUUUCGGAAAACCUAACCACACCUCAGGGUUGAUAUGGCGACAACACAGAUAGGAAUAUACCCUCAUGAUAAAAAUCUCUACAUCAUCAAAAAUACUGUGUUCCUUCCUGUUCCUGUGGUUCUUAACAUAAGAUCUCAUCUCAAAGUGUGCCCUCAAGUCGAAAGAUGGUCGGAGUCAUUACCAUAGAAAUAUAAUUCAUUCUAUAUCUACGGUUUCUGUGGACUAUUUCUACAGACUAGAACUGUAAUGCUGUGAUGUCAUGCAUAUCAGUCAUCCCCCUAUCAAACCAAUAGAUCCCACGCACAUGUAGAUCUGAAAUAACCUUCCAUAAAUACUGUCAUUGGGACUUUAGCUAGCACCCACAUUCUUUUACUGGAGAAAUUCAAAUAUCAAGAAGUUUAAAAUGUUAAGAUCCGGAAUAUAAACCCAACGCAAACUGAGUGGAAAAUACAACUUCAGCCCGUUUCAGACAAACUCAGUGGAAAGUGUAAUAAACUACAUUUUAAACUCAUCCACAUUAUGAUGAGUGAAUAUCUGCCUUUUUGGACUUACUCGUGAUAGUAUGAAGAGAUCCUGUCUUGAAAACAUGGAGGGAAAUGAUGCUCAACUCAACUAAAUGUUAAGUUUUGAUUUACCUUUGGUUGAGUUGUCAACUAACAUGAAUUCAAUGUGAAAUCAACCAAAAAUGUAAUGUCAUUGGAUUUAGGUAAAAAAUACUAAAUUCCUUUACGUUGAUUACUUUUUUUCAAUUCAAAUCACUUUUCUACGUUGAUUCAACGUCAUCACAUUUAAUUUUGGGGUUGAAAUGACGUGGAAACAACAUUGAUUCAACCAGUUUUUGGCCAGUGGGUUUUGAGUUUUGUGGAUGCAUACAAAUGUCUUUCUCAUCAACAAAACACAUCAAAACACCAUCAUAGAUUAAAUACGUCUCUAAUACUUAAAUUAUCAUACACAAAAAGUAAACAUUCCUACCAAAUUGAUUCCUAGUGGUAUCUGCAUCUCUCUUUGCUUGCCAAACAAGUUGAACUCUGCUCCUUCUGAUACCAGGUUUAGUGUUUGUUCACCUACUUUUUCCCAUAUAAGUGCAUUCUGAUAUCUGUCUUCAAAAACAUCCUUACUCUGCAGUGUUGGGGUAAAUUCCUUUUCAAUUCAGGAAGUAAACUUUAAUUCAAUUUCCAAUUUUAUACAACGCUUCUCGUUGCAAAAAUUGUAGAAUUAGAAAUUUAGUUUACUUCCAGAGUCCGCAAAAUGACGUUGAGUGAGCAGCACCGCAGAUUUUGCGAUGAGCAAGAUGCAAGACUCCGCUCUCACACAGUGUCUGUGCAUGUGCUCUGGUUCGAUUCAUGCACUUACAACGUAGUAGCCACAGGACCAAAACAGCAGAGAAGCUGAGUGUCGCAAUCAAACUCUCUUGUCGCAUAAGUUGUCGCAUAAAAUUGACCCACUAUGUUGUUUACGUUGUGCAUCUACGUCAUAUCGCUGACCCUACCUUUAAUUGAAAUGGAAUUGACCCACUAUGCUGUUUACGUUGUGCAUCUACGUCAUAUCGCUGACCCUACCUUUAAUUGAAAUGGAAUUGACCCACUAUGCUGUUUAUGUUGUGCAUCUACGUCAUAUCGCUGACCCUACCUUUAAUUGAAAUGGAAUUGACCCACUAUGCUGUUUACGUUGCGCAUCUACCUCAUAUCGCUGAACCUACCUUUAAUUGAAAUGGAAUUGACCCACUAUGCUGUUUACGUUGUGCAUCUACGUCAUAUCGCUGAAACCUACUUUAAUUGAAAUUGAAUUGACCCACUAUGCUGUUACGUUGUGCAUCUACGUCAUAUCGCUGAACCUACCUUUAAUUGAAAUUGAUUACCCACUAUGCUGUUUUCUGUGUGCAUCUCGUCAUAUCGCUGACUGACCUACCUUUAAUUGAAAUGGAAUUGACCCACUAUGUUGUUUACGUUGUGCAUCUACGUCAUAUCGCUGAACACCUUUAUUGAAAUGGAAUUGACCCACUCUGCUGUUUACGUUGUGCAUCUACGUCAUAUCGCUGAUGAACCUACCUUUAUUGAAAUGGAAUUGACCCACUAUGUUGUUUACGUUGUGCAUCUACGUCAUAUCGCUGAACCUACCUUUAAUUGAAAUGGAAUUGACCCACUAUGCUGUUUACGUUGUGCAUCUACGUCAUAUCGCUGAACCUACCUUUAAUUGAAAUGGAAUUGACCCACUAUGUUGUUUAGUUGUGCAUCUACGUCAUAUCGCUGAACCUACCU
rnacentral:lncRNA from 1 species